AUUGAACGCUGGCGGCAGGCCUAACACAUGCAAGUCGAACGGUAACAGGAAGCAGCUUGCUGCUUUGCUGACGAGUGGCGGACGGGUGAGUAAUGUCUGGGAAACUGCCUGAUGGAGGGGGAUAACUACCGGAAACGGUAGCUAAUACCGCAUAACGUCGCAAGACCAAAGAGGGGGACCUUCGGGCCUCUUGCCAUCGGAUGCGCCCAGAUGGGAUUAGCUAGUAGGUGGGGUAACGGCUCACCUAGGCGACGAUCCCUAGCUCGUCUGAGAGGAUGACCUGCCACACUGGAACUGCGACACAGUCCAGAGUACUACGGGAGUCCGCAGUGGGGAAUAUUCCACAAUGGCGGCAAGCCUUAUGCAGCCAUGCAGCGUGUAUGAAGAGGGCCUUCGGGUUGUAAAGUACUUUCAGCGGAGAGGAAGGUGUUGAGGUUAAUAACCUCAGCAAUUGACGUUACCCGCAGAAGAAGCGCCGGCUAACUCCGUGCCAGCCGCCGCCGUAA
rnacentral:rRNA from 1 species